AUGGCGACCGGCGCACGGGUGAGUAACACGUAUCCAACCUGCCGAUGACUCGGGGAUAGCCUUUCGAAAGAAAGAUUAAUACCCGAUGGCAUAGUUCUUCCGCAUGGUGGAACUAUUAAAGAAUUUCGGUCAUCGAUGGGGAUGCGUUCCAUUAGGUUGUUGGCGGGGUAACGGCCCACCAAGCCUUCGAUGGAUAGGGGUUCUGAGAGGAAGGUCCCCCACAUUGGGACUGAGACACGGUCCAAACUCCUACGGGAGGCAGCAUG
rnacentral:rRNA from 1 species